rfam:Streptomyces glauciniger strain CGMCC 4.1858 genome assembly, contig: Ga0079895_120
CCGGGCGUAGCGCAGAGGCAGGCGCACCGCCUUGCCAAGGCGAAUCACGCCGGUUCGAAUCCGGCCGUCCGGG